GACGAACGCUGGCGGCGUGCUUAACACAUGCAAGUCGAACGGAAAGGCCCUUCGGGGUACUCGAGUGGCGAACGGGUGAGUAACACGUGGGUGAUCUGCCCUGCACUUUGGGAUAAGCCUGGGAAACUGGGUCUAAUACCGAAUAGGACCACGCGCUUCAUGGUGUGUGGGGGAAAGCUUUUGCGGUGUGGGAUGGGCCCGCGGCCUAUCAGCUUGUUGGUGGGGUAAUGGCCUACCAAGGCGACGACGGGUAGCCGGCCUGGGAGGGUGACCGGCCACACUGGGACUGCGGUACGGCCCAGACUCCUACGGGAGGCAGCAGUGGGGAAUAUUGCACAAUGGGCGCAAGCCUGAUGCAGCGACGCCGCGUGAGGGAUGACGGCCUUCGGGUUGUAAACCUCUUUCACCAGGGACGAAGCGUAAGUGACGGUACCUGGAGAAGAAGCACCGGCCAACUACGUG
rnacentral:rRNA from 1 species